UACGAAGGGGGCUAGCGUUGCUCGGAAUCACUGGGCGUAAAGGGUGCGUAGGCGGGUCUUUAAGUCAGGGGUGAAAUCCUGGAGCUCAACUCCAGAACUGCCUUGAUACUGAAGAUCUUGAGUUCGGGAGAGGUGGAGUGGAACUGCGAGUGUAGAGGUGAAAUUCGUAGAUAUUCGCAAGAACACCAGUGGCGAAGGCGAGUCCCUGACAACUCCUGACACUGAGGCACGAAAGCUAGGGGAGCAAACAGGAGUUAGAAAACCCUAG
rnacentral:rRNA from 1 species